rnacentral:rRNA from 1 species
AACGGACGCUGGCGGCAUGCCUAACACAUGCAAGUCGAACGAGACCUUCGGGUCUAGUGGCGCACGGGUGCGUAACGCGUGGGAAUCUACCCUUGGGUUCGGAAUAACUCAGAGAAAUUUGAGCUAAUACCGGAUGAUGUCGCAAGACCAAAGAUUUAUCGCCCAAGGAUGAGCCCGCGUAGGAUUAGCUUGUUGGUGAGGUAAAAGCUCACCAAGGCGACGAUCCUUAGCUGGUCUGAGAGGAUGAUCAGCCACACUGGGACUGAGACACGGCCCAGACUCCUACGGGAGGCAGCAGUGGGGAAUAUUGGACAAUGGGCGAAAGCCUGAUCCAGCAAUGCCGCGUGAGUGAUGAAGGCCUUAGGGUUGUAAAGCUCUUUUACCCGGGAUGAUAAUGACAGUACCGGAGAAUAAG